GAGCUGCUUGGAUGUAAUCCCUCUAGGCCUCGGUGUCACCGGUGGGCCGCGACUGGGAGUGGGUGACCGUGCAGGUGGACAGCCGAGCAGAGCCUCAGGGCGCAGGGCAACAUGCAGCUGCUGGGCUUUGGCUGGGUCCCCUCUGCCUGCUUCACGAGCAGCAUCUGCAGCUCUGGGUGCCAGAAGCCCAGCGCGAACUGGCUAAAGUGCAGGGCGGAGCCCCGACAUCUGGCUUGCUGACACCCUGGAGACACCUCUUAUUUCUGUGUUAUUAACACAACCAACACUCACACUGAUGCCAAGAAGCCUUCUGAAGGUUGCCCACGACCAUGGGAAGAAACAGAAUCGAGAUCCGUCGAGGGGAGUUUAGACCCGAGAGCUUCUAAGUGCUGGGUGGGAACAAACCCCCAUGUGCACAGAGACGGGCGGGCCAAGCAGAGAACAACACAGCGGAGUGAAGGGAGACCGCGGAUGGAUGGAGCGGCUCCUGUGAGCUGGUCUCUGAUGAGUGACAUCAUCAUCUGGCCCAGAAGCUUCGGGCUGGACACUGAGACUUAAGGGGCUGGGUCCUGGGCUGGGGGUGGACCCUCGUCAUAGCUGCCACCCCGGCUGACCCUCAGCGCCCCAGGAGCCUCAUGAAGGAUUCCUCACCCUGUGGAUGAGCUGCACCGGAGACAGAACCGGCGGGCCAGCAGUGGGUCCAGGGCGGCUGGAGCGCCAUCCAGUCUCCGGAGCGCGAGGCUGCCCAGUGGAGGCUGGCACUGCCCGAGGCCCAGCCUCCGCUCAGGGAGCCUCUCCUCUCUGACGAUGAACAGCGGAAGCGCCUCCUGGAAAGAGACUGGUGUUUCUGGUGCUGAAACCUCAGCGGAAAUAAAAGGAAGAAAUAUAAUUUUUACUGUCAAAACUUGUCUUCCUUUUGCAAGUUUGAGGAGAAGCACAGAUGCGUGAAACUGCAUUUUCGUGGCCACGAGCAGCCCCACCAGGUUUCAAUCCACCCGGAGCCCCUGCCCCCUUCAGAGCGGCUGGUGCUCACAGGACGUGCCGUGGUCCCUUGUCCCUGGGCAUCUGUUUGGGACGUGGUGGCUCCUUGGACAGUGGGCAGGAGGACGCUGUGGCCUGCGGCCACUGUGGAGGGUGAGAGCCGGUGUAGACACCGUUG